CGGGCGCGCGUCUCGUCACCCAUUUUUUCCAGGUUGACC
rnacentral:rRNA from 1 species